CCUACGGGAGGCAGCAGUGGGGAAUAUUGCACAAUGGGGGAAACCCUGAUGCAGCGACGCCGCGGGAGUGAAGAAGGAAUGCGGGAUGUAAAGCUCUAUCAGCAGGGAAGAAAAUGACGGUACCUGAGUAAGAAGCCCCGGCUAACUACGUGCCAGCAGCCGCGGCAAUACGUAGGGGGCAAGCGUUAUCCGGAUUGACUGGGUGUAAAGGGAGCGUAGACGGCAGUGCAAGUCUGGAGUGAAAGGCGGGGGCUCAACCCCCGGACUGCUCUGGAAACUGUACGGCUGGAGUGCAGGAGAGGUAAGUGGAAUUCCUAGUGUAGCGGUGAAAUGCGUAGAUAUUAGGAGGAACACCAGUGGCGAAGGCGGCUUACUGGACUGUAACUGACGUUGAGGCUCGAAAGCGUGGGGAGCAAACAGGAUUAGAUACCCUGGUAGUC
rnacentral:rRNA from 1 species